rnacentral:rRNA from 1 species
UACGUAGGUGGCGAGCGUUGUCCGGAAUUACUGGGUGUAAAGCGCGUGUAGGCGGGAGGCCAAGUCUGCGGUGAAAUCGCUCGGCUCAACUGGGCGGGGUCCGUGGAAACUGGUCACCUGGAGGACGGUAGAGGCGAGUGGAAUUCCCGGUGUAGUGGUGAAAUGCGCAGAUAUCAGGAAGAACACCCGUGGUGAAGGCGGCUCUCUGGGACGGUACUGACGCUGAGACGCGAAAGCGUGGGGAGCGAACAGG